rnacentral:rRNA from 1 species
AAGAAAGGUGGCGGCGUGCUUAACACAUGCAAGUCGAACGGAAAGGCCCUGCUUUUGUGGGGUGCUCGAGUGGCGAACGGGUGAGUAACACGUGAGUAACCUGCCCUUGACUUUGGGAUAACUUCAGGAAACUGGGGCUAAUACCGGAUAGGAGCUCCUGCUGCAUGGUGGGGGUUGGAAAGUUUCGGCGGUUGGGGAUGGACUCGCGGCUUAUCAGCUUGUUGGUGGGGUAGUGGCUUACCAAGGCUUUGACGGGUAGCCGGCCUGAGAGGGUGACCGGCCACAUUGGGACUGAGAUACGGCCCAGACUCCUACGGGAGGCAGCAGUGGGGAAUAUUGCACAAUGGGCGGAAGCCUGAUGCAGCAACGCCGCGUGCGGGAUGACGGCCUUCGGGUUGUAAACCGCUUUCGCCUGUGACGAAGCGUGAGUGACGGUAAUGGGUAAAGAAGCACCGGCUAACUACGUG